GACGAACGCUGGCGGCGUGCUUAACACAUGCAAGUCGAACGGAAAGGCCCUGCUUUUGUGGGGUGCUCGAGUGGCGAACGGGUGAGUAACACGUGAGUAACCUGCCCUUGACUUUGGGAUAACUUCAGGAAACUGGGGCUAAUACCGGAUAGGAGCUCCUGCUGCAUGGUGGGGGUUGGAAAGUUUCGGCGGUUGGGGAUGGACUCGCGGCUUAUCAGCUUGUUGGUGGGGUAGUGGCUUACCAAGGCUUUGACGGGUAGCCGGCCUGAGAGGGUGACCAGCCACAUUGGGACUGAGAUACGGCCCAGACUCCUACGGGAGGCAGCAGUGGGGAAUAUUGCACAAUGGGCGGAAGCCUGAUGCAGCAACGCCGCGUGCGGGAUGACGGCCUUCGGGUUGUAAACCGCUUUCGCCUGUGACGAAGCGUGAGUGACGGUAAUGGGUAAAGAAGCACCGGCUAACUACGUGCCAGCAGCCGCGGUGAUACGUAGGGUGCGAGCGUUGUCCGGAUUUAUUGGGCGUAAAGGGCUCGUAGGUGGUUGAUCGCGUCGGAAGUGUAAUCUUGGGGCUUAACCCUGAGCGUGCUUUCGAUACGGGUUGACUUGAGGAAGGUAGGGGAGAAUGGAAUUCCUGGUGGAGCGGUGGAAUGCGCAGAUAUCAGGAGGAACACCAGUGGCGAAGGCGGUUCUCUGGGCCUUUCCUGACGCUGAGGAGCGAAAGCGUGGGGAGCGAACAGGCUUAGAUACCCUGGUAGUCCACGCUGUAAACGGUGGGUACUAGGUGUGGGGUCCAUUCCACGGGUUCCGUGCCGUAGCUAACGCUUUAAGUACCCCGCCUGGGGAGUACGGCCGCAAGGCUAAAACUCAAAGGAAUUGACGGGGCCCCGCACAAGCGGCGGAGCAUGCGGAUUAAUUCGAUGCAACGCGUAGAACCUUACCUGGGUUUGACAUGGAUCGGGAGUGCUCAGAGAUGGGUGUGCCUCUUUUGGGGUCGGUUCACAGGUGGUGCAUGGCUGUCGUCAGCUCGUGUCGUGAGAUGUUGGGUUAAGUCCCGCAACGAGCGCAACCCUUGUUCACUGUUGCCAGCACGUUAUGGUGGGGACUCAGUGGAGACCGCCGGGGUCAACUCGGAGGAAGGUGGGGAUGACGUCAAGUCAUCAUGCCCCUUAUGUCCAGGGCCUCACGCAUGCUACAAUGGCUGGUACAGAGAGUGGCGAGCCUGUGAGGGUGAGCGAAUCUCGGAAAGCCGGUCUCAGUUCGGAUUGGGGUCUGCAACUCGACCUCAUGAAGUCGGAGUCGCUAGUAAUCGCAGAUCAGCAACGCUGCGGUGAAUACGUUCCCGGGGCU
rnacentral:rRNA from 1 species